GUAUCUUCUCAUUAAUCAGUUUUCAAGCAAUUAAUUGUAUCAUAAGUGGAAAGUAUUGACCGAAUUACUUAAAGGCCAUUUCCAGAAUUAGACAUGGCAAUUAAUUUCCUGGUGUCUAUGUUAAUAAGUUGUCAUAGAUUGUUUGACAGACAGUGAUUACAAUCUACAUCAGCCAUGCAAAUACACAAAGCAGGCUUAUCGGCUUGCCUAAUAAUAAAGGAAGGCUGGGUUUUAAAAGGAGAAAGGAGGUAAAAUCUGAGCCAACUACAUUGUUGGGGAGGCAGUACUAUCUCAGUCACAAAGAUGUAGCAUUGCUAGAGAUUGUCAAAGCCUUUUCCAGGUCUUGAAAAAUUCAGUUUAGAAUAUGUUCUUGGCUGCCCUAAAUUCAACCAAGCAUGACCACAUUUCUACCAUGAUUGCAAGAUACAUAUUAUUACAUAUGGAAAAAUGUUUAUGUCUUAGGAAAUUUUUUGACUUUGCUAUGGAAAAGAUAUCUGAAGUCCAUUUUUAUAAAAAAUGUUAAUUUAUUUCUAAAUUGUAUCCACUAACAUAGGCACUCUUGUAUAAUUCAUUAAUUUUUUCAGCCAUUUCUCUUUUUUUGCCAAACCAAGGUAUGUAAUGUUUGUUUAGUUCCUUAAAAGUGGUUUGUAAUUAUGAUUUUAAUGAACAUAUUUUCAUGUAUGAAAUAUUUCAAACAGAUUGUAAAAUACAGAGUGUAGUAUGACAAACACUAAUGAGUAUCUCAGGUAGAUUUAAUAGAUGUAUACAUUUUUGUUUUCACUUCCAAUCUCUUUAUUAAAACAAUUAUUUCUAUGAAUUUUUAAAUACCUUUUCACAAAUAUAAUUAUGUGGCAUAAUAUAUAAUUAUAUAACUAUCUAUAUAGUUGCAACUGUUAGAUUUUUUACAUAUUUGACUUAAGAGGUAUUUCAAAGUUGCCCAUUAUCUCUAUGUAUAUUUUUAAAAAUUUAUUAGGUGACAUAGGCUUAAAUAUAUAUACAUGUGUGCAUGUGUGCAUAUACAUGUAUAUAUAGUAUUAAACAUAUUUAUGUAAAUGUAUAUGUAUACAUGGGAUUAAAUAUAUGUACUUGUGUGUAUACACACAUGCACAUAUAAAAUAUAAUACUGUGUCAUCUAAUAGACUUUUAAAAUGUAACCAGUCUAGUGCGUAUUCCAAUGUUUUAACUUGCAUUUUCAAUAACG
rnacentral:lncRNA from 10 species